GGCAGCUCACUAAAGGAGAAGAGAAAAGGACUGCCUAAGACUCACAUAGCAUAGUAACAACAGAACCCAGGGCUCCUGACUCCCACACCAGGGUCUCAGACCACUGCCCCAACACAAGGAGCAGGCCUCACUGCUCA